rnacentral:lncRNA from 1 species
AAGUGAUGUGAUAAAUUAAGGGACAUUAUCUAUUUGUAGGAGAGAACACAAAGCAGACACUCAAGUUUUAUUCCGUAUCUGAGCCAUGGGACAGCACGUCUCACUGGCAUUUACAUUCACUGCCCCAAAUCAGAACCAAACCACUGUUCAAGUCUUCUGUAAGAACACUGGAUUUGGGUCCCUGAGGUGCUGAUAAAAUUUUAUUUUUUGGCUUAAUUAUUAUAUGGGCAUUCAGUAAUUGUUGGACUUUACAUGUGUGGACUUUAUGGGUUUUUGCAAUUGUAUUUCACAAUAAAAAGAAACAAAAGGCAGCUAUUUUUAGUAUUACUUAAAUGUUAAUUUAUGUAAUAAUCCCUUAAACCUGAUCUGAGUCCCCACUCAAGUAAAUUGUAAUAUGGCAUACUACUUUAAAAAACGAAUUAGUUCAACUU